GCCGCCCUAAAUCUCAUUCAAUUCUGCCCGUCCAAGGUCACCUGCGCGUCGCCACUAGGCCACGCACUGUUGAUUGAUUUUUUGCCUGAUGCUUCGCCUCUACUUCUGGUUUGGUUCUGCACGCGCUGCAAGUCAUGAACGUCCUGGAUUCAGCGCCCGCGGGCACGAUCUGCAUUUUGUGCUCGCAUCAGAGUCCCCUAACGGACUGCUCAAGUCGUGCCCCCUGGCUUCUCUCGUGCUGCAACAACACUAGACGCUCGUGUCGACGAGCCCCUACACCCUCGUGGUAUCUCCCUUUAGCUUCUUCGUGAAUGGAUCAAGAACAUCUUCUUGGUAGUUUCUACUUCUCCCGUGCUAUCAUCUCAACCCAUUUUUGUGUUCAUGAAUGGAUCAAUUGCUAGCACGAUCCGGCAAAAGACUAUAACGCCAACCACGAAGAUACAUUCCAAA
rnacentral:lncRNA from 1 species